UACGAAGGGGGCUAGCGUUGCUCGGAAUUACUGGGCGUAAAGCGCACGUAGGCGGAUCGUUAAGUCGGGGGUGAAAUCCUGGAGCUCAACUCCAGAACUGCCUUCGAUACUGGCGAUCUCGAGUUCGGGAGAGGUGAGUGGAACUGCGAGUGUAGAGGUGAAAUUCGUAGAUAUUCGCAAGAACACCAGUGGCGAAGGCGGCUCACUGGGCCCGAUACUGACGCUGAGGUGCGAAAGCGUGGGGAGCAAACAGG
rnacentral:rRNA from 1 species